UGUGGAUCAUGUUCAUGGCUUCAUCACGAACUGUACUGAAAUCUCUAUGACCGCUCACCUGGAGGAAAGUAACAUGGCUCUUCACGGUCACUGGAGACGGACUCAGCUCGUACUUCACGUUGGGAAUUUUUGUCGGUGCGAAGCUGAUCAAGAGGAAAUGAUUUGAGUAACAGAAUGUUACUUUCAUAUGAAACUGCUCUGCUUAUUCUGGACUUUCAUCAAGCAACUUCAUGAGGUGCAUCAUGAAAUGCUUUUUGAAGAAGGAACGAUAUGCAUUAAGCAUUUCAUGCAGCUUUUCCUUCAACUCAUUCAUUAAAAAAAGAAAAAAAAAGAAAUGGAAAUCAGUUAAGCAGAAGCCUUUAGAUUAAUUGUUUCUGUGAUCCUGAGAAACAGUGUGAGUCGAGUGUUCCCAGGCUUUUGAAUGGCAGUGUAUGUAAAACAGACUCACAUACAUG